UAGGCAUAUAAUUAAGCGGAGGAAAAGAAACCAACAGGGAUUCCCUUAGUAGUGGCGAACGAACAGGGAUCAGCCCAGCGCCGAAUCCCCCGCUCGCGAGGGCGAGGGGAAAUGUGGCGUUUAGGAGUGAACGUGCCGGUGGUUGGCUCUGCAGCAAGUCCCCCUGACCGGGGCUGUAACCCACAGUGGGUGCGAGGCCCAUAGCUGCUAGGUCUCUGCCGGAUGCGAUCUCCUUGGAGUCGGGUUGCUUGGAAAUGCAGCCCUAAUCGGGUGGUAAACUCCACCUAAGGCUAAAUACCCCUGUGAGACCGAUAGCAAACAAGUACCGUGAKGGAAAGUUGCAAAGAACUUUGAAGAGAGAGUUCAAUAGUACGUGAAACUGUUCAGAGGCUAAGGGGUGGGCCCUCGAAAUCCUGUGGCGGGAGCAUUCAGUCGGGAUGGCGGAACGCCUCUGGCCGGAGUAUCACAAGAAGGUGCCCGCGACGGGACCGCUCCGGUGUGGCGCUUUUCACCCGUCCGACGCAUUUGUUUMCCGCCCAAAGGACGCCGCAACCGGUUKUUCGUGAUGGCUUUAUGGACGCGAGCUGGCAGUUGGCCGGCGAACGCGCUUCUGUGCGUUUGCCGGUCUUUAGCCUUCGNUGUUAUCGGCACGUCCGUCGACCGUGGCAAUAAAGAUGCCCUUUUGGGCUUCGACGUCUCCUCCCUGAGGCGGGUGAAGAAGCAUGUCAGGGGUCCGACCGCGAUUGCGCUGGGCGCACGGACACACUCCGUGGCCGCGGUGCUCGGUUGGCCUCGUUGGUCGUGCAAGCCCMCGRRRGAGUKUAACAYGUGUGCGMGKCAAGUAGGUCUCGAAUAARCCCAAASGSGCWAUGAAAGCAAAGGUCGGAGGACUCCGGCUAAGUUGGGAUCCCUGCUCCUCUGUCGAGCGGGGCGCACCAACGACCCGUCCUAUUCCACUUGUGGAUUGGGCGGAGUUUGAGCACACACGUUGAGACCCGAAAGGUGAUGAACUAUGCCCGGACAGGACGAAGCCAGAGGAAACUCUGGUGGAGGUCCGUAGCGGUUCUGACGUGCAAAUCGAUCGUCAGAUCCAGGUAUAGGGGNCGAAAGACCGAUCGAAUCAUCUAGUAGCUGGUUCCCUCCGAAGUUUCCCUCAGGAUAGCUGGCGCUCGUUGAAUCCAGUCCCAUCCGGUAAAGCGAAUGAUUAGAGGCCUUGGGGCGGAAACCACCUCAACCUAUUCUCAAACUUUAAAUGGGUGGGAAGUCCGCCUUGCAUGAUUGAAGGCCGGACCGAAGGAUGAGAGUGCCCAGUGGGCCACUUUUGGUAAGCAGAACUGGCGCUGUGGGAUGAACCAAACGCCGGGUUAAGGUGUCCGAUGCUAGACGCUCAUGAGAUCCCAUGAAAGGUGUUGGUUGCUCUAGACAGCACGACGGUGACCAUGGAAGUCGGUAUCCGCUAAGGAGUGUGUAACAACUCACGUGCCGAAGCAACUAGCCCUGAAAAUGGAUGACGCUCCAGCGUUGAGCCUAUACCCGGCCGCUGCGGCAGAACUCCUUUACGGGAGGUUUAGGCCGCAGUGAGUAGGAGGGUCGCGGUGGCGUGCGUUGAAGGUGCCGGGCGUGAGCCCGCCUGGAGCCGCCACCGGUGCAGAUCUUGGUUGUAGUAGCAAAUACUCAAGUGAGAACCUUGAGGACUGAAGCUGGAGAAGGGUUCCAUGUGAACAGCAGUUGAACAUGGGUCAGUCGGCCCUAAGGGAUCGGAGAAAUCCGUUCUGAAGCGAGACGUUGACUCAAACACGGGACGUGUUUGUCUCGCUGCCGACCGAAAGGGAAUGGGGUUAAUAUUCCCCGACCCGGACACGGAGAUAGGUUUUUCGGAACCAAAUGCGGUAACGCAACCGAACUCGGAGACGUCGGCGGAGGACCCGGGGAAGAGUUAUCUUUUCUUUGUAAGAGUUCGUGUCCCUGGAAUCGGCUCGUCCGGAGAUAGGGACGCUGUUCUCGUAAAAGCACCGC
rnacentral:rRNA from 1 species